AUUGCUAUCGGAGUUCGAUUUAGCCAUGCUAGUCGCACGGGUUUAGACCCGUGGCGAAAAGCUCAGUAACACGUGGCCAAACUACCCUAUGGAUCAGAAUAACCUCGGGAAACUGAGGCUAAUUCUGAAUACCGCUCCUGCACUGGGAUGUGCGGAGCAUGAAAUGCUUCGGCGCCAUAGGAUGUGGCUGCGGCCGAUUAGGUUGACGGUGGGGUAACGGCCCACCGUGCCCAUAAUCGGUACGGGUUGUGAGAGCAAGAGCCCGGAGACGGUAUCUGAGACAAGAUACCGGGCCCUACGGGGCGCAGCAGGCGCGAAACCUUUACACUGCACGACAGUGCGAUAAGGGAACUCCGAGUGCGAGGGCAUAGAGCCCUCGCUUUUGUACACCGUAAGGUGGUGUACGAAUAAGGGCUGGGCAAGACCGGUGCCAGCCGCCGCGGUAAUACCGGCAGCCCAAGUGAUGGCCGAUAUUAUUGGGCAUAAAGCGUCCGUAGCUGGCCGGACAAGUCCGUUGGGAAAUCCGCGCGCUUAACGCGCGGGCGUCCAGCGGAAACUGUCCGGCUUGGGGCCGGAAGACCUGAGGGGUACGUCCGGGGUAGGAGUGAAAUCCCGUAAUCUCGGACGGACCGCCUGUGGCGAAAGCGCGUCAGGAAGACGGACCCGACAUUGAGGGACGAAAGCCAGGGUCUCGAACCGGAUUAGAUACCCGGGUAGUCCUGGCUGUAAACGAUGUCCGCUAGGUGUGACGCAGGUUACGAGCCUGCGCUGUGCCGUAGGGAAGCCGUGAAGCGGACCGCCUGGGAAGUACGU
rnacentral:rRNA from 1 species